rnacentral:rRNA from 1 species
CACCCGAGACUCAGUGAAAUUGAAAUCGCUGUGAAGAUGCAGUGUACCCGCGGCUAGACGGAAAGACCCCGUGAACCUUUACUACAGCUUGGCACUGAACAUUGACCCUACAUGUGUAGGAUAGGUGGGAGGCUUUGAAGCAGGUACGCCAGUAUCUGUGGAGCCGUCCUUGAAAUACCACCCUUGUAGUGUUGAUGUUCUAACGUCGACCCCUAAUCGGGGUUGCGGACAGUGCCUGGUGGGUAGUUUGACUGGGGCGGUCUCCUCCCAAAGAGUAACG